CCUACGGGUGGCAGCAGUGAGGAAUAUUGGUCAAUGGACGAGAGUCUGAACCAGCCAAGUAGCGUGAAGGAUGACUGCCCUAUGGGUUGUAAACUUCUUUUAUAUGGGAAUAAAAUGUUCCACGUGUGGGAGUUUGUAUGUACCAUAUGAAUAAGGAUCGGCUAACUCCGUGCCAGCAGCCGCGGUAAUACGGAGGAUCCGAGCGUUAUCCGGAUUUAUUGGGUUUAAAGGGAGCGUAGGUGGAUUGUUAAGUCAGUUGUGAAAGUGUGCGGGUCAACCGUAAAAUUGCAGUUGAAACUGGCAGUCUUGAGUACAGUAGAGGUGGGCGGAAGUCGUGGUGUAGCGGUGAAAUGCUUAGAUAUCACGAAGAACUCCGAUUGCGAAGGCAGCUCACUGGACUGCAACUGACACUGAGGCUCGAAAGUGUGGGUAUCAAACAGGAUUAGAUACCCUUGUAGUC
rnacentral:rRNA from 1 species